CGCCCCGUGCGGCGCCCAAGGCCGUCACGGCCCUACACAAAUUUUGGCCGAAAGUUCUCACAUGCCUUUUAGAUUUUGAUCCGAAUGUAAAAUCAUCGAUUGGUAGUGAAAAAUGGCUUUGUUUUGGAAGAGUGCAAGAUUGGUCUGAUCCAUGAAAGGUGAAGCAGCUUCGCUCCAGAGUGUUCAGGGCGUACCUUGUAUGUUUCCUGCCGUGAAUGUUUGUUUGUGACAAGACAGAAACACUACGUAAUCCAGUUACAGAUUGCUUCAUUGCCUCUCCCUGCCAGUUCAUGCACCGAAUCAUAUAAAAUGUUUUGAGUAACAAAGUAAACAUUCUUCUAAUAUCUGGCACAGAGCAAGCUUCCAGACUAUUGUUAAAAGCGUCUGCAUUCGUCUCGUCUGUGGCUACUUUGUAGAGAACCGUUUAGCUAACACCUGAAGGGUUCUUUAGAUAUUCAGAGACCAAUAAGCAAGCAAAAUCACGCAAUGGAGCGCGAGUCGCCUAUCGAAGCGAUGUCUGUGCCGGAAUGAAGUGUGUUGUUGUUACCACCUUCUUCAGUACGAAGCUGGAGCAGUGGAGCUCUGCCACUGGAACAGACAUUCCACUCAUGCUUCAGACAGUCGCUCCAAACAGAAAGUGUUUUUUCCCUAUUUUUUUUAUAAUAAGAAAAACAUAUAUUUUCUUAUUAUACUCUUAGAUCACUCACUAUAUCAUAGAUCGCAUACCAAAGUUGAUUAUUUUACAACACGUAGACCGCACACCGAAGCAGCACCAGCGCUAUUUAUCAGUAUGAUAAAACACAAAAUUUCUUAUAUAUGAAACAUGCAAAUGUAAAAAGUUAAGAACAAAAAGUGAAUUGAACGACAAAAACGCAGGUAAAACUCAAAUUAGCCGCCAGACGUGGCCCUGCGCUGACCCCACCGUGCGGGCUGCUCGGCGCCGCACGGCAGUCGGCGGCGCCCGGCAGGCUGGCAGUGGUGAAGGAGACUCCGAGAAGAAAGUAUGUCCCUGUCACUUCAGCUCAGUUACCUUGUUGGGGAUCUCACUCUGCGUCCCCGUGGCCUCCACUGCAACAGUCUCCUCCCACACGAGACCGUCGCGUGUCGCGGGCAGGUGAAACGCACUGUGUGCAGCGUGCAUGAACCAGCGACCCUUCCACACCGCUUUGUUUCUCCCGGGAGAUAUUACCGUGGUGUGGGUGGUGAUGGUGGCGGCGGCAGCAUCGUGGGGAAUCUGCCUGCACGUGGAGGGAGCAGAGUGGAUGGACACAAUGACGUGGUGAGCAGCUGCUGUGCUCAGUGGCCUCACUGGAGGAGGAAGGAGGAAGGAGGGACGCGUCUACCCGGUGAAGAGUAAUCGUGCAAACCACGCCACGCAGGACGUACUGGACCCGCGUGGCAGUGGAAGGUGCCUUCCAUCGAUUGAGAUGAAAUGCCACUUCCUUGUGCUGUCAUCAUAGUGUUGCAUCAGGCUGGCGGAGUCGUGGAUAUCCCCAGCGUCGUCUAGCCCUCUCUCUCCUGCCUCCAGCUUUUUUAUUUAGUUCAGAAGUUGACACGACCCGGUGGGAUUAUAUUGUAAACGUGCAGGAGAGGUAACAAGACGCUGGAGAGUGGAUGGAAGAUUUGGCAACCCGGGACGACGUAUUCUCUACAACUAUAAGGUCCAGUAGAGGCGGCAAAUUCUUGCCUCUCCGCCGCCUCCAUCGCUGGGUAAGGUUUAAUCCGCUGUUGGCACUGGCCCAGUCCCGUCGAUCCAUUCGCGUUUUCUUCAAAGUUUGAUUCCUCUGCUGACGCCUCGCUCCUCUUCACUACUCUUCUGUCUUCAAGACUGGUUGCGGUGACUGUGCUCAGAGUCCAGGACAAUGAGCGUCAGUCUGGGCGAGUCUUCUUCCUGUAGACUGCCGAGGCGUGGCACUUCGUCUCACAUCUGUAGAAAAAGCGUUAAUAAGGAAGAGUUAAAAAGAAAGUGUUCCAUGUAUUUCAUUCCUGCAUAUUACCCGGAACAAUUAAUACUGGGGUGUCCCCAGCCACGAAGGUCCUUGCCUCCACACCACACGCCAUCACCAUCGCUACCAAAAUGCCGGCAGCAUAUGAAAGGGAGAAAGGAAAUGUAGACAGGAGGAAGAGCAAGCAGGGAAGAGAUGAAGCGUAUGAAAGGGAGAAAGGAAAUGUAGACGAGAGGAACCACAGUGAGGUGACGGCGCAUGCGGUUGACUUAUUUACGAUUAUUGCAUCACUUCUGGUAAUACAGCGCACAUUAAUUACUGAACAAGCAGCAGCUAACAACUACAUAAUUUUUAAUCGACUGUAAUAACAGUCAACAUGCCAUUAAUUUUGUUACCAGCCAUGAAGGUCGUUGCCGCCGCCGCCGCUAGCAGCGUGGCGGUUACGACCGCCAUUGUGACGGUGCCUGUGGGCAGGCGUGAGUCUCCCUUGGCAGCGGUCUCGUGCACCACGCUCCUAAGUUGUGGGAGGGGACUGUUGUGGCGGCCAUCACAUCUAACCAGCGAGGCAAACAACCAAUUCAACCACUAAACAAUUAUCUAAGUGGUUAACAGCUUAAGCGUGCCUCUAACUAGCCUCUAUCCAUUACUUGCAAGUAACUCAACUUUUUUUU